GAUGUUCCACAUGAGCGCAUGCGAGUGUGGGAAAGGCUUUUUGCGGCAUGGGAUGGGGUCGCGUCCUAUCAGCUUGUUGGUGGGGUAACGGCCUACCAAGGCGUUGACGGGUAGCCGGCCUGAGAGGGCGACCGGCCACAUUGGGACUGAGAUACGGCCCAGACUCCUACGGGAGGCAGCAGUGGGGAAUAUUGCACAAUGGGCGCAAGCCUGAUGCAGCGACGCCGCGUGCGGGAUGGAGGCCUUCGGGUUGUAAACCGCUUUUGUUCAAGGGCAAGGCACGGUCUUUGGCCGUGUUGAGUGGAUUGUUCGAAUAAGCACCGGCUAACUACGUGCCAGCAGCCGCGGUAAUACGUAGGGUGCAAGCGUUAUCCGGAUUUAUUGGGCGUAAAGGGCUCGUAGGCGGUUCGUCGCGUCCGGUGUGAAAGUCCAUCGCUUAACGGUGGAUCCGCGCCGGGUACGG
rnacentral:rRNA from 1 species